AACGUAGGAGACAAACGUUAUCCGGAGUUACUGGGCGUAAAGGGCGUGUAGGUGGUUUUGUAAGUCUGGCGUGAAAUUUUUCGGCUUAACCGGGAAAGGUCGUCGGAUACUGCAAGGCUAGAGGACGGUAGAGGCGUGUGGAAUUCCGGGUGUAGUGGUGAAAUGCGCAGAUAUCAGGAGGAACACCGGUGGCGAAGGCGGGUCUCUGGGCAGUAACUGACGCUGAGGAGCGAAAGCGUGGGGGAGCGAACAGG
rnacentral:rRNA from 1 species